rnacentral:snRNA from 10 species
AGCUUUGUGCAGUGGCAGUAUCGUAGCCAAUGAGGUUUAUCCGAGGCGUGAUUAUUGCUAAUUGAAAAUAAUUUCAUUUGCAGGGAAAGGAAUAGAACUAGAACAAAUCAUGUUAAGUGAGGUAAGUCAGAGAGACAAACAGCGCAAGUUCUACCUGAUAUAAGGAAGUUAGAUCUAA